AUGAGGAGACUCCAAAGUCAGCUGUCCCUCCGUCCGUCGCCCCUGCCUGGCUGCUCUCCCUGCGCUGCGCCAUCUGGCGGCCGCGUCUUGCAAGGGCCGGUGGCUGCCGGAAAGGUCAGACCGCCCCCUGAGGGUGAACUAGAGAAGAGCAGCCUGGCGAGAGGGAGGGAGAAGGCGAAGAGUUAUGGGGCUAAGUUGACAAGGCCGGGUUCCCCAAAAAGAGGCCCGUGGGCAGAUCAGGAGCCCCAGCACGAGGGGAACCNGAAGAAAAUGAAGUAUGGCCUGGAANUAAGAUUGGAUGAUAAUUGCUUGGGAUCAGAAGAUCUGGAUAUUUGAAAACCUGAAUCCCAAGAUACAAAAAGAUUUGGUUACUGUUUCAUAUCCUGAGAAGAGCUGUGUCUGCAANUGAAUGCUNCAAUUUAUAUUUUUGGGUGNGGUCUGACAUUGUAAAUUUAAUCCGUAUUGGAAGAGUAUGAGGACUGAAUUNUUUUCCANUNGUUCCCACAUUUGCAUUUUAACACGGACUCAAUUUGGACUUGCAUGGAGAAACAGUACCUUUUCUGCCUCCACCUCUCGUCAAAUUCUCCUCCCUGUGCAGUCAGUGAUUGGCUGCAGUCCCAACGUUCAAAUCUUGACUUCACAGGGUGGGAAAAUCAAGCUCCAUCCUCUGUAUAUCCCUGCUGCCAUCUCAGAACAUGGAUUCACUUGGCAGCAUUACUAGUCAUUUGCCAUAUUUGCUCUUUCUCCUCCUCCAGCCUNUAUCUACACAAGCAGAACUUUAAUACCACAUGUACCGCACAAUAAAGCUUCUUAAAGGGCAGAUGGCGAUUUCUGC
rnacentral:lncRNA from 1 species